GGUGCAAACAGGAGCAAGCACCGACAGAAGUGGCUGAGGCUGUGAAUGAAAGCACAGUGCUCAGGGUGAUGCUGUGGAAGGACUUGUCAUUUCACACUGGGAUCAUUAGCAUUUCCUCACACGCAGGCAGUGACCACCAUUGUGGGGCAUCGCCCUCAGAUAAGGCACAGCUGAAGUAUCAGAUGCUCAGAGACAAGGUCUGGCUCUGUCGCCCAGGCUGGAAUGCAGUGGCAUGA
ensembl:lncRNA